GACGAACGCUGGCGGCGUGCCUAAUACAUGCAAGUAGAACGCUGAAGAGAGGAGCUUGCUCUUCUUGGAUGAGUUGCGAACGGGUGAGUAACGCGUAGGUAACCUGCCUUGUAGCGGGGGAUAACUAUUGGAAACGAUAGCUAAUACCGCAUAACAAUGGAUGACACAUGUCAUUUAUUUGAAAGGGGCAAUUGCUCCACUACAAGAUGGACCUGCGUUGUAUUAGCUAGUAGGUGAGGUAAUGGCUCACCUAGGCGACGAUACAUAGCCGACCUGAGAGGGUGAUCGGCCACACUGGGACUGAGACACGGCCCAGACCCCUAAGGGAGGGCGCAGUAGGGGAUCUUCGGGAAUGGGGGCAACCCUGACCGAGGAACGCCGCGGGGGUGAAGGAGGUUUUCGGAUCGUAAAGAUCUGUUGUAAGUCAAGAAAGGGUGUGAGAGUGGAAAGUUCACACUGUGACGGUAGCUUACCAGAAAGGGACGGCUAACUACGUG
rnacentral:rRNA from 1 species